UACGGGGGGGGCAAGCGUUGUCCGGAUUUAUUGGGCGUAAAGAGCGUGUAGGCGGCCAGGUAGGUCCGCUGUGAAAACUCGAGGCUCAACCUCGAGAUGUCGGCGGAAACCAUCUGGCUAGAGUCCGGAAGAGGAGAGUGGAAUUCCUGGUGUAGCGGUGAAAUGCGCAGAUAUCAGGAAGAACACCCGUGGCGAAGGCGGCUCUCUGGGACGGUACUGACGCUGAGACGCGAAAGCGUGGGGAGCGAACAGG
rnacentral:rRNA from 1 species